UACGGGGGUGGCGAGCGUUGUCCGGAAUCACUGGGCGUAAAGGGCGCGUAGGCGGCUUGAUAAGGUUGCGGUGAAAGCCCGGGGCUCAACCCCGGGUCGGCCGUGGCAACUGUCGAGCUGGAGCACUGUAGAGGCAGGUGGAAUUCCGGGUGUAGCGGUGGAAUGCGUAGAGAUCCGGAAGAACACCGGUGGCGAAGGCGGCCUGCUGGGACAGUGCUGACGCUGAGGCGCGACAGCGGUGGGGAGCAACAGG
rnacentral:rRNA from 1 species